GUGCCAGCAGCCGCGGUAAUACGGAGGGUGCGAGCGUUGUCCGGAAUCAUUGGGCGUAAAGGGCGCGUAGGUGGCCCGGUCAGUUCGUGGUGAAAGCGCGGGGCUCAACCCUGCGUCGGCCAUGAAUACUGCCGCGGCUGGAGCACUGUAGAGGCAGGCGGAAUUCCGGGUGUAGCGGUGGAAUGCGUAGAGAUCCGGAAGAACACCGGUGGCGAAGGCGGCCUGCUGGGCAGUUGCUGACACUGAGGCGCGACAGCGUGGGGAGCAAACAGGAUUAGAUACCCUGGUAGUCC
rnacentral:rRNA from 1 species